rnacentral:rRNA from 1 species
UACGGAGGGGGCAAGCGUUAUUCGGAAUUACUGGGCGUAAAGGGCGCGCAGGCGGUUUGUUAAGUGAGAAGUGAAAGCCCUCGGCUUAACCGGGGAAUGGCUUCUCAUACUGGCAGACUAGAGGAUGGGAGAGGAAAGCGGAAUUCCCGGUGUAGCGGUGAAAUGCGUAGAGAUCGGGAGGAACACCAGUGGCGAAGGCGGCUUUCUGGACCAUUACUGACGCUGAGGCGCGAAAGCGUGGGGAGCAAACAGG